rnacentral:rRNA from 1 species
AUUGAACGCUGGCGGCAGGCCUAACACAUGCAAGUCGAGCGAGCGGCGGACGGGUGAGUAAUGUAUGGGGAACUGCCCGAUGGAGGGGGAUAACUACUGGAAACGGUAGCUAAUACCGCAUACCAUCAGAUGAACCCAAAUGGGAUUAGCUAGUAGGUGGGGUAACGGCUCACCUAGGCGACGAUCCCUAGCUGGUCUGAGAGGAUGACCAGCCACACGGGAACUGAGACACGGUCCAGACUCCUACGGGAGGCAGCAUUGGGGAAUAUUGCACAAUGGGCGCAAGCCUGAUGCAGCCAUGCCGCGUGUGUGAAGAAGGCCUGCGGGUUGUAAAGUACUUUCAGCGGGGAGGCGUUACCCGCAGAAGAAGCACCGACUAACUCCGUGCCAGCAGCCGCGGUAAUUC